rnacentral:lncRNA from 1 species
AAAAGGUUUAAAUCAUGAAGUAGAUAUUCUAUUGUCUUAGUUGAUAUUCUAUUGCUGUGAAGAGACACCAUGACCACGGCAACUCUUAUAAAGGAAAGCAUUUAAGCUGGGCUGGUUUACUGUUCAGACAUUCAGUCCGUUAUCAUGAUGGCAGGAAGCAUGGCAGACGUGGUGCUGGAUAAGUAAUGGAGAGUUCCACAUCCACAGGCAGCAGGAAGAACGGGACACUGGGCCUGGCUUGAGCAUCUAAAGCCACAAAGCCUACCCGCAGUGACACCCUUCCUCCAACAAGGUCACACCUCUCAAUCCCUGUCGCCACUCCCUAAUGAACAAACAUUCAAAUAGUGUGAGCCUCUGGGGGACACUCCUAUCCAAACAACCACAGAAUUUUCCCAUACGUUAGCAAGUUCAGCUCGCCCUGGUCAGCACCGGGCAUGCUUGCCUCUCUCCAGGUGAGCUUCGUGAAUGCAUUCUCAACAUCCGCCAUGUCCAAGGUGGUCUCGGUAUGAUUUAGUCGACUCUAUGAUUAAGUCAUAAAUAAUUAGUGACUUCUUGGACUUAGAGGCUCUGCCCCUGAAACAUACUACCAAGAAAACAUCCUGGCGCUUCUCCCUGAUUAUGGACAUCUUGAUUUCGUUUUGGUGUACUAAUACAGAUGUGCACACGAAAGAAAUAGAUGGAGUUAGUAUAAACACACUACAGUAACCAACACUGCACAGCCUGGAACAGACUGGUCCUGAAGAGGGCUGAGGCCGAUGCUAAAGCAGGUAGGGGUAGCAUGUUCUUACUCUGUCAGUCCUCUGGGUUUGAGACUUUAUUUCCAAAGUCACAUCAGAAAAAUGUGGACUUGAUUGACACAUACGUAGGAUAGUGAGGAGUUCAGCCAGGACAUAUAUUCAACAGUAUUCAUCAAUCAGAUUGGCCUCUAAGAGGAUGUGCUGGUACCUCAUAGCCCUCAAUGAUCAAGCAUCUGCCAUGAGCUACCUCCUCCUGCUUGCAAAGACCAUCUCCCAAACAAAACACCCGUGUUUCUGCUCAUGCCAGUCUAGGUGGGCUCCUGGAGGGCUGUCUGUGUACUCUAGAUGGCCUCGUUACAAUGUGGAUGACACACCAGCAGCUAAUCUAGGUUCUUCCCUCUGUGAGCCUCUGAUAUGAGAGUCGAAAAGUGCAGAGAAUCAAGCAAAUGGCCUAUCUAAGGGGAUGCUGACAUGGGAGUGGCCUCUGAAAAUUGUUGUGGCCAUGAAUUGUUGGAACGCUUUCCAGGAAAAGUUUUUAAUUAAGAAAAAGUGGACCGGAGCCCAACCACUCCUCGGAACCAGUGGGAGCUCUUCCAGGAAAAGACCUUAGUCCAGGAGAGGUCAGCCAGUCAGUCCAGGACAGCAGCAACCAGCACUCCGAUCUGCUCAUGUUGCUCGAAAUGAAAUAUCCACUAUUUCCAGGAAGGCACCAGAGCUUGAGAGACACCACGAGACAGGGUUGCGAUCAGCACCGUCCAGAAAGGCAUCUGGUUAGAAGAAAGUGAUUUUGAAUGGAUUUAUAUCACCUCCCUUGACCAGGACUGGAGGAUAGAGGGCUCCAACCCCCUCUCCUCCUCCAAACACCCAGGUGAUACCUCCGCCUAUAGGAUUGAAGACAGCGUGGCCGCGCUCCCAACUCCAUACCUUCUCUUGCCAAGGGAAAGACUUUAAGUCCUUGCACUGUUCCUUGCCCUGAGUGGGACAUUUAAACAAGGCAGCAGUUGGUUCCAUUUUGAGUACGGAAGCAGAGGCAGGCUUCCCCUGCCUCAGGGUUCUGGUCUGAAUAGGAAUUGAACUCCUUAGGCUCAAGCGCUUAAACAAUUGGUGUCCAGCGGGUGGCGCUGUGGUGGAAGGUUAUGGAGCUUGAGGAGCUGGCGUUUCACUGGAGGAAAUGGAUGGCUGGGAUUUUGUAGCCCGUUUCCUGUUCUGCCUCAGCUCUCCUUGACUGAAGAUACAGCUGACAAGCUACCUCCUGCUUCUCCUACCCUGCCUUCCCUGACUUGAGGGGCUGUAUUCCCUCAAACUGCAAGCCAGGUUAAACCCGCCCUCUGCUAAGUUGUUCCUUGUCGGGUGUUUUGUCACAGCACUGAGAACGAAGCUAACUAAUCCUAUCAGGUCUGUGUGCAUACACACCACUGCCUGCCCAUCACAAGCCGUGAGACACUGACUGAUGAGCAACUUACUUCUGCAAGUGAAAGAACGCCACCUAUCUAUCGCCUUAUCUAAGUUGUUUGGGGAUUUGUGGGGGCGUGGUGUAUUCAGACCACAGCCUAGACCGGUGAACUUCCUGAAGCACCAGACCAGCAGAGAGUGAGACAGCCUCAGCUAAACCUGUCGUCUGACCACCUGUGCUAGGCCAAGGGACCCACACACAGGGAACUCCCAGCUGUCCCAAGGACAUCAGCUCAGCACAGUCACCAGUAGGUGACAAGAUUCAUUCAGGUUGCCGCCCAUCCAUCCUUCCAAAUCUAGCGUUUCGCCUCCUCGGUCCUAUACCUCGGCCGUUCAGCAUUGUCGCUGCGCCUGCCUUCAGCAAAUCUCCAACUGUAUUUCCUAAUGUUUCAUCUAACCAUCUCUAUCAGGUCUGUCUCUGCCUUCAGUAAAGCCCUCAUGAAUUACAGCCUCCUUAACCUACCUCUUUUACAAUCCUGUAACGGCGUGUGUGUGUGUGUGUGUGUGUGUGUGUGUGUGUGUGUGUGUGUGUGUUGUGAGUUGGGGGUUUACCUAAGUGUUAAUAUUGGUAGUAGAAAAACCUGUGAUUGCCGGAGCUAUGCUGUAGAGCAGUGGUUCUCAACCUUCUUGGUGCUGUAAGCCUUUACUACAGUUCCUCCUGUUGUGGUGACUUCCAAAAUUAAAGUUAUUUCAUUGCUACUUCAUAACUGUAAUUUUGCUACUGUUACAAGUUCGUAACAUAAAUUUCUAAUGUGUGACCCACAGGUUGAGAACUACUACUGUAAAGAGCUAUCAGAACUAUUUUAUAAACUACAGUCAACAACAACAAAAAAAAAUCUUACAAAUGUGUUGUUAUUCAGUAUGUUCUGACGGGGUGAAAAGACACAAAUAUGUCUGUCCAUGUUUCUGACAUCAUGUGCUCAUGACAGACAUAAUUCGUCAAUUUUAUCUUCUGAUAGCAAAAUAAAAAGAAAGGUAUAAUCCUCAAGAGGCCAAGGUCCUGCCUUAUGUCGUCAGAGAUUUGUCUGUCUUUCUGAUAGUUUAAACUGUGUAAUAAACUUGGUGUGUGUGUUUUUUUUUUAAAUAAUAGAUGGAACCAGAGAGAACCCAAAAGAUAAAUUAGUUACUUCAUACAAAUAAACUAUUCUAAAGUGCCAGAUAGCUUUUUAAAAGAUUCACUUCGUGUUUGAAAAUAAAACUCCAAUGACAAUCUGUUUUUCAGAAUUUCUCAGUU